UAGCUAAAAUGGAGAACAAACACAAAUACACAUACUCCUCCCCAGCGCACACAUCAGUAGGGAAUUCGAUCUAUAUAUCCUCUUCUUCUCAUGGCGGUGUUCAAGACGACAAUCGUCCUAGUCCUGGUUUUUGUGGUCCUGUCUUCAACAUCUCCGUGCUACGAAGCCGGACGAAGCUGCAUUGGUGGCUGCGAUCAGCAGCUAGAUGCGACACCGUGCGUGGACCCUCUCAAGAACGACGCGGACCACUGCACGACCGCGACAUGCGCCUUGCAAUGCCUAUCCGCCAAGCACAAGACCAAGUCGGCCUACUGCAAGCAUGAGGGCAGCAAAUACGAGUGCUGCUGCCCGCCAUGAGAGCAACCAAGCUAGAGCAGCGGUUGUGUGAUACACUCAAUAAAAUAAAUAAACUGUUUGUUCAAUAAUAAAAAGAUGGAAGGGAUAUUGACUUUAUCAAACACUAGCUCGAUCGCAUAUGCAUGGAUGGCUCGCCACUGAGCUUUUCAAAAUGAAUUGUGGUAUGGGGGUGUUUGGUUUC